GAGUUUGAUCCUGGCUCAGAUUGAACGCUGGCGGAAUGCUUUACACAUGCAAGUCGAGCGGCAGCGCGGUCUUCGGACUGGCGGCGAGCGGCGAACGGGUGAGUAAUACAUCGGAACAUGCCCAGUCGUGGGGGAUAACACUUCGAAAGAAGUGCUAAUACCGCAUACGUCCUGAGGGAGAAAGCGGGGGAUCGCAAGACCUCGCGCGAUUGGAGUGGCCGAUGUCAGAUUAGCUAGUUGGUGGGGUAAAGGCCUACCAAGGCAACGAUCUGUAGCUGGUCUGAGAGGAUGAUCAGCCACACUGGGACUGAGACACGGCCCAGACUCCUACGGGAGGCAGCAGUGGGGAAUUUUGGACAAUGGGGGCAACCCUGAUCCAGCCAUUCCGCGUGAGUGAAGAAGGCCUUCGGGUUGUAAAGCUCUUUCGGCAGGAACGAAACGGCGAGCUCUAACAUAGCUCGCUAAUGACGGUACCUGAAGAAGAAGCACCGGCUAACUACGUGCCAGCAGCCGCGGUAAUACGUAGGGUGCGAGCGUUAAUCGGAAUUACUGGGCGUAAAGCGUGCGCAGGCGGUUGUGUAAGACAGGUGUGAAAUCCCCGGGCUUAACCUGGGAACUGCGCUUGUGACUGCACGACUAGAGUAUGGCAGAGGGGGGUGGAAUUCCACGUGUAGCAGUGAAAUGCGUAGAGAUGUGGAGGAACACCGAUGGCGAAGGCAGCCCCCCUGGGCCAAUACU
rnacentral:rRNA from 1 species